rnacentral:rRNA from 1 species
GAUGAACGCUAGCUACAGGCUUAACACAUGCAAGUCGAGGGGCAGCAUUUUAGUUUGCUUGCAAACUGAAGAUGGCGACCGGCGCACGGGUGAGUAACACGUAUCCAACCUGCCGAUAACUCCGGGAUAGCCUUUCGAAAGAAAGAUUAAUACCGGAUAGUAUACGAAUAUCGCAUGAUAUUUUUAUUAAAGAAUUUCGGUUAUCGAUGGGGAUGCGUUCCAUUAGUUUGUUGGCGGGGUAACGGCCCACCAAGACUACGAUGGAUAGGGGUUCUGAGAGGAAGGUCCCCCACAUUGGAACUGAGACACGGUCCAAACUCCUACGGGAGGCAGCAGUGAGGAAUAUUGGUCAAUGGGCGCGAGCCUGAACCAGCCAAGUAGCGUGAAGGAUGAAGGCUCUAUGGGUCGUAAACUUCUUUUAUAUGGGAAUAAAGUUUUCCACGUGUGGAAUUUUGUAUGUACCAUAUGAAUAAGGAUCGGCUAACUCCGUGCCAGCAGCCGCGGUAAUACGGAGGAUCCGAGCGUUAUCCGGAUUUAUUGGGUUUAAAGGGAGCGUAGGUGGAUUGUUAAGUCAGUUGUGAAAGUUUGCGGCUCAACCGUAAAAUUGCAGUUGAAACUGGCAGUCUUGAGUACAGUAGAGGUGGGCGGAAUUCGUGGUGUAGCGGUGAAAUGCUUAGAUAUCACGAAGAACUCCGAUUGCGAAGGCAGCUCACUAGGCUGUCACUGACACUGAUGCUCGAAAGUGUGGGUAUCAAACAGGAUUAGAUACCCUGGUAGUCCACACAGUAAACGAUGAAUACUCGCUGUUUGCGAUAUACAGUAAGCGGCCAAGCGAAAGCAUUAAGUAUUCCACCUGGGGAGUACGCCGGCAACGGUGAAACUCAAAGGAAUUGACGGGGGCCCGCACAAGCGGAGGAACAUGUGGUUUAAUUCGAUGAUACGCGAGGAACCUUACCCGGGCUUAAAUUGCAACAGAAUAUAUUGGAAACAGUAUAGCCGUAAGGCUGUUGUGAAGGUGCUGCAUGGUUGUCGUCAGCUCGUGCCGUGAGGUGUCGGCUUAAGUGCCAUAACGAGCGUAACCCUUAUCUUUAGUUACUAACAGGUUAUGCUGAGGACUCUAGAGAGACUGCCGUCGUAAGAUGUGAGGAAGGUGGGGAUGACGUCAAAUCAGCACGGCCCUUACGUCCGGGGCUACACACGUGUUACAAUGGGGGGUACAGAAGGCGGCUACCUGGUGACAGGAUGCUAAUCCCAAAAACCUCUCUCAGUUCGGAUCGAAGUCUGCAAACCCGACUUCGUGAAAGCUGGAUUCGCUAGUAAUCGCGCGUUCAGCCAUGGCGCGGUGAAUUACGUUUCCCGGGCCCU